rnacentral:lncRNA from 1 species
CCAAACAUCUGACUAGAAGCGGGUGAGCAGUUUUGCAGCACAACACUCAUGGAAGUUGGCAGGGGGGCUUCCAGUGACAGCUUGGUUGCUCUGGGGUGAGCUCUUGGUGGCUCUGGGCAAGCUCAGGCUUGCUAGGUGGGCUGAAACAAAGCCAGCUCGAAGUGGUCCAUGUGGCCUACAUGGGCUGGGCUUGAGCCAUGCCCCAGCCAUGGCUGCGUGGUGCAGACAAGGCCCCUGGAUAACAGCAGGUUCAUGCUGAAGUGCAGGCCAGCAUGGAGACUGCGUGAGCAACCUGGGCCUCCUGUCUUGUGUGAAAACUCAGGGCUGAGCCUAAUCAAAUGAAUAUUUUGAUGGACUGUUCCUGGAAAUUCAUAUUUUUGACAGAAUACGUCAGAUCUUCUUAAGUGGGAAAUGUUCCUCUUGCUCCCUUCCCUAAAGGAGAGAGGUAUGUGAGACAAUCUCUGGGCCAAGUAUGGUCCAUUCCCAGCUGAGAUGAUUUCACUGUAAUGUCUGGUCACCUGUAUCAUCCUGAAUCUGUUUUUGCCCUGAGCAGAGAACUGGAGCAGUUUAAACAGAAGUGCAGAUGUUGAAUAGAAAAUAAUGAACAUUACUGUUGCUCAUGCAUGAAGAAGAGUAUUUGUAUGAAGAACAGCUGAACCCCAAAUAUUUGUUCACACAUAUGCUUGCUUUUGUGAAUGUUCACAGCUUGAAAAAUACUCACGCCCUGGCUCAUUACUGUAGUAUUUGUCAUCAGAACAACACAGUCAGUCAUUUUAAGUUUAAGAUCAGACCGGGAAGGUG